rnacentral:rRNA from 1 species
UACGUAGGGGGCAAGCGUUGUCCGGAUUUAUUGGGCGUAAAGAGCGUGUAGGCGGCCAAGCAGGUCCGCUGUGAAACUCGAGGCUCAACCUCGAGACGUCGGUUGAAACCGUUUGGCUAGAGUCCGGAAGAGGAGAGUGGAAUUCCCGGUGUAGCGGUGAAAUGCGCAGAUAAUCGGGAAGAACACCCGUGGCGAAGGCGGCUCUCUGGGCCGAUACUGACGCUGAGGAGCGAAAGCGUGGGAGCGAACGAGG